UACGGGGGGGGCAAGCGUUGUUCGGAAUUACUGGGCGUAAAGGGUCUGUAGGUGGCCAAUUAAGUCAGACGUGAAAUCCCUCAGCUUAACUGGGGAACUGCGUCUGAGACUGGAUGGCUCGAGUGCAGGAGGAGGAAUGCGGAAUUCCAGGUGUAGCGGUGAAAUGCGUAGAUAUCUGGAGGAACACCGGUGGCGAAGGCGGCAUUCUGGACUGCAACUGACACUGAAAGACGAAAGCCAGGGGAGCAAACGGG
rnacentral:rRNA from 1 species